GUAACGGGUGUAACAUGCCAAUCAAGGUAAUUUAACAGAUUUCAACAUUUCU
rnacentral:sRNA from 1 species